UACGAAGGGGGGCUAGCGUUGCUCGGAAUCACUGGGCGUAAAGCGCACGUAGGCGGCUUUCUAAGUCAGGGGUGAAAUCCUGGAGCUCAACUCCAGAACUGCCUUUGAUACUGGAGCUUGAGUCCGGGAGAGGUGAGUGGAACUCCGAGUGUAGAGGUGAAAUCGUAGAUAUUCGGAAGAACACCAGUGGCGAAGGCGGCUCACUGGCCCGGUACUGACGCUGAUGUGCGAAAGCGUGGGGAGCAACAGG
rnacentral:rRNA from 1 species